UACGUAGGCAGCGAGCGUUGUUCGGAAUUACUGGGCGUAAAGAGUGUGUAGGCGGUGCUCCCAGUCUGUUGUGAAAUCUCCCGGCUUAACUGGGAGGGUGCAGCGGAAACUAGAGUGCUAGAGGGUGGGAGAGGUAAGCGGAAUUCCUGGUGUAGCAGUGAAAUGCGUAGAUAUCAGGAGGAACACCUGUGGUGUAGACAGCUUACUGGACCACUUCUGACGCUGAGACACGAAAGCGUGGGUAGCAAACAGG
rnacentral:rRNA from 1 species